UAAAGACUUGACAGCAGUUGUCACAUACUUGAAGGGCCAGGAAAUAAGACGUGUGUGUUUUCUGUAUUUCUCCCUGCACUGGGCAGAGCUAGCAUUACUAAAUCUAAGUUACAGAGAGACAGCUGUGACUCAAAGGAAAUAUGAAGCCGCCAACACACAGAUCAAUGCUCUCAACUAUUGCAUGAGCUCUCGAGAUACCGAAACAGGCUUCUGGAGUAUGUGGUUGAAAAGGCAAGGGCAGUUUUCCUACAAAGGGUGGAUAUUCAGGUCUGCCAUUCAAGAUUCAUUUUGAUUACACAGUUUCAGAGGGGUUCAAAGUCUCCUCAAAAGUGGCCAUUUUUAAAGCAUCCACAUAGCAGGCCCUUUGCCAGGGGCUGGCGCAUUCAAAGACCGUUUGCUCAAAAUAUAGUGCCUCUAUUAGGGGACAUUAGACAAACUUCACAGAAGCGAGGCAUGGAGGGUGUCUUAGCUGCUAUUAAGCCAGGAGGGGACUACACAUCAGCUACGCCGGGGGCCCUGAGAAACGGUGAACAGUUAUGCUCCAGUCAUGUCUUGCCAGGGCAGCGUGUCUCUGUCCUCUGUGGUUGGAUGAACACUCUGCGCUGCUAGACAAUGAACCAUCUGGGAUCAUGCUCUCACUUCUUCUACUUGGAGAGAAUGCACUCAAAGUCAACUUCUUGAAGGGACAGGGAGUCAACAUUAAAGAGACAAAUGAAUCUGAGUUUAUGGAACUUGCUUAAGCUACUCAAAGGAAACCUUGCACGAGGGAGAAGCACUCAGGGAAGGAGAUUGUUUACUACGGAGGCUCCCACAUGCCUGCACUGGGGCUCUUGGUCCACGGUCAUUCCCUCUGUUGUUACAAAACAUGUUUUAUAGUGUGAAUCACCUUCUACUA